rnacentral:rRNA from 1 species
AGUGAACGCUGGCGGUAGGCCUAACACAUGCAAGUCGAACGGCAGCACAGGAGAGCUUGCUCUCUGGGUGGCGAGUGGCGGACGGGUGAGGAAUACAUCGGAAUCUACUCUGUCGUGGGGGAUAACGUAGGGAAACUUACGCUAAUACCGCAUACGACCUACGGGUGAAAGCAGGGGACCUUCGGGCCUUGCGCGAUUGAAUGAGCCGAUGUCGGAUUAGCUAGUUGGCGGGGUGAAGGCCCACCAAGGCGACGAUCCGUAGCUGGUCUGAGAGGAUGAUCAGCCACACUGGAACUGAGACACGGUCCAGACUCCUACGGGAGGCAGCAGUGGGGAAUAUUGGACGAUGGGCGCAAGCCUGAUCCAGCCAUACCGCGUGGGUGAAGAAGGCCUUCGGGUUGUAAAGCCCUUUUGUUGGGAAAGAAAUCCAGCUGGCUAAUACCCGGUUGGGAUGACGGUACCCAAAGAAUAAGCACCGGCUAACUUCGUGCCAGCCGCCGCAGUAA